GACGUAGGGGGCAAGCGUUGUCCGGAAUCACUGGGCGUAAAGAGCUCGUAGGCGGGGAUGCGCGUCCUGGAGUAAAUCCAACUGCUCAACGGUUGGUUCAUCUGGGAUACGGUAUCUCUUGAGGACAGAAGAGGAGAACAGAAUUCCGAGUGUAGCGGUGAAAUGCGUAGAUAUUCGGAGGAAUACCGGUGGCGAAGGCGGUUCUCUGGUCUGAUUCUGACGCUGAGGAGCGAAAGCCAGGGGAGCAAACGGG
rnacentral:rRNA from 1 species